AAACAAAAAAAAAAAACAAAAAAACACAAACAACAAAAACAAACAGUUAAAGUUUUAAUGUGACAAUAUUAGGGAAUGCAGUAAUAACAUUCUUAUGUCUACAAUAUACCCAUUCCCAUGGAAAGAUAUGGAUAGACACGCAUUGUAUGUAUUGGUAUAUAUAAUACAGUAGAUGAUUAUGUACAAAGGGAUGCUACGACCGAUCUCAAGGACAUUCUGAAUUGUUG